AUUGAACGCUGGCGGCAUGCUUUACACAUGCAAGUCGAACGGUAACAGGCCUUCGGGUGCUGACGAGUGGCGAACGGGUGCGUAAUGCAUCGGAACGUGCCCAGAGGUGGGGGAUAACGCAGCGAAAGCUGUGCUAAUACCGCAUGUGAUCUGAGGAUGAAAGCGGGGGACCAGGCAGCAAUGUUUGGCCUCGCGCCUUUGGAGCGGCCGAUGUCGGAUUAGGUAGUUGGUGGGGUAAAGGCCCACCAAGCCGACGAUCCGUAGCUGGUCUGAGAGGACGACCAGCCACACUGGAACUGAGACACGGCCCAGACUCCUACGGGAGGCAGCAGUGGGGAAUUUUGGACAAUGGGCGCAAGCCUGAUCCAGCAAUGCCGCGUGCGGGAAGAAGGCCUUCGGGUUGUAAACCGCUUUUGUACGGAACGAAAAGGAUCUGGCUAAUACCUGGGGCUGAUGACGGUACCGUAAGAAUAAGCACCGGCUAACUACGUG
rnacentral:rRNA from 1 species